rnacentral:lncRNA from 1 species
GUAGCUUUUCUGACUCUUAACGAGCUCUUGAAUCUACUUUCAGAGAAAUGCCAGCAAAAACUGUAGUCAUUUGUAGCCCAAGAACAAGUCUGGAAGAAAAAUACACAGAGGACUAGCACCAAGAGGCCAUCUCAUGUAGUUUGGUAAAGCAACACGUCACUGUGGGAAAAUCUCUACUGAAGAUCCCAACCUGUAAAUGCCAUCAAUCCGAAGAAGUCCUUGUGCUGAGGAACCAGACUUCCUCUCUGGACAUACAUACAACACAGUGGAAAAUAACAAAUGAUGACAAAGUUUGAAAAGUUUAUGACAGACCACAGCUCAUGAUGGGGACAAUCCUGAGGAUAUACGAAAAGCAUUUCCCAUGCAGGAAGAAGAAAAUAUUCUAAAGAAGAGAUAAGAGUGUGCCAUGAAAUCAAAAAGAAGUAGACAGACUGAAGUGGAGAGGAAGGCGAACUCAACUAGGAGUGCUGGUGUCAAAGGGACAGGCCGACCACAGCAAGCUGACACCCGGUGGCUGUGGUUCCUUCCACCACAGCCCACUAUCAGAGGCUGAAGUGAGACGAUCGGACUUGGCCCAACCUUGUGGUAGCCAAGAUUCACCCCGGCCUUGCUGGCCACACCCCUUGCUCAGUCUACAAGGCAAGAGGUGUUCUGAACCACAGACACGGAUUACACACCAGAUUCCAACGCAAGGGUGAGCCGUUGCUUUCCUGUUUCCUGUUUGGGUCACAGGCCUCCUUCAGCUAUUCUGGAAUGUUAGAACACGUAAUCUGUUUUGAGUUUGGAAAGGUCCGAUGCUCCUUUAUGUGGGGGUGUUCACUUAUCAGAAAAGAAAAAAAAAAGC